rnacentral:tRNA from 1 species
UGGGGUGUCGACAAGUGGUAAGUCAGCAGAUUUUGAUUCUGCCAUUCCAAGGUUCGAAUCCUUGCACCCCAACCA